rnacentral:lncRNA from 1 species
CCCUCUGUGCCUCAGCUGCAGGUGGCGGAGAUGCGCGUCCAGUACCUGGAGCAGUCCACCGUGGACCGCGCGAUUGUCAGCAGGCAGGAGGCAGCCAUCUGCGACUUGGAGAACAAGACGGAGUUUCAGAAAGUGCAGAUUAAGAGACUUGAGGUCCUGGUGAUCAGACUCCGGGACAGCCUGAUCAAGAUGGGCGAGGACCUGUCGCAGGCCCAGGCCUCGGAGUCCAAGCAGCGGGAGAGCAGCCAGUACUACCAGCGGCGCCUGGAGGAGCUGAAGGCAGACAUGGAGGAGCUGGUGCAGCGGGAGGCGGAGGCCAGCAGGAGGUGCAUGGAGCUGGAGAAGUACGUGGAGGAGCUCGCCGCCGUGAGGCAGACCCUGCAGACGGACCUGGAGACGUCCAUCCGGCGGAUCGCCGACCUGCAGGCGGCCCUGGAGGAGGUGGCGUCCAGCGACAGCGAUGCCGAGAGUGUGCAGACAGCGGUGGAUUGUAGCAACGGCGGCAGGAAAGAAAUAGACAGCUUCUCCGCCAUCAGCUCCCAGCCAGAGGGCAGCCUGCAGUCCUGGCUGAGCUGCACUCUGUCCCUGGCCACAGACACGGCCAAGAGCCCGUCUCGACAGUCCGCCGCCAGCAGCUACACCCUCCACGCCAGGUAAGAGCGCCACCUGUGUCGCUGCUUGGCCGACA